CAGAAUUAAGCCGGUAAUGUAAGACUGCUGGAAAUAAGCCUUGGGAUUUCAUUACAUCCACAUGUGAUUCUGUUGUAUAAUAGCCAUCAAUAUAAUCCGGUCAUAAUGGUAGCAAAUUAUAUGUCCUGGUGCAAACUCUAGAACUGAGGACAAAACAAAAAGUAGAUCUCCAGCUAUUAUAGAACUACCAUUAAGGCUGGGCAAGCUCUUCCUCAUUAAAAAUUACAGUUCGACUUAAUUUUAUGUUUUUAUUCUGCUAUUAUACUGCGCUGCUUAUAAUGUUGGUGCUAUAUAACAAAAAAAAUAACAAUC